GACGAACGCUGGCGGCGUGCUUAACACAUGCAAGUCGAACGAAGUGGCGAACGGGUGAGUAACGCGUAAUCAACCUGCCCUUCAGAGGGGGACACCAGUUGGAAACGACUGCUAAUACCGCAUACUGAAGGAGGGGAUUGCGUCUGAUUGGCUAGUUGGAGGGGGAACGGACCACUAAGGCGAUGAUCAGUAGACGGUCUGAGAGGAUGAACCGACACAGUGGGACUGAGACACGGCCCAGACUCCUAAGGGAGGCAGCAGGGGGGAAUCUUGCGAAAUGGACGAAAGGCUGAAGGAGCAAAGCCGCGGGAGUGAUGACGGCCUUCGGGUUGGAAAGCUCUGUUAAUCGGGACGCGUUACCGGAAUAGAAAGCAACGGCUAACUACGUGCCAGCAGCCGCGGUAAUUC
rnacentral:rRNA from 1 species